UUGAAUACCUCGCCAUUACUCAAAGAAGAAGCCGGUUCAGAGAGGGGAGGUGGGUGGGCUACGGUCACAGCAGCGGGUAAGUAGCUGAAUCAGGGUUCACACCCAGGACCUCACAGGCUAAAGAGCCCCAGCGCCUCCUCUCUCUGGUCCCGGGCCAGGCCCAAGGGCGCUUCUUGGCAGGGCCUCCGAAAGUGGCAUUAGAGACCUUCUCUCGGAUCCAGGAAAUGAAGGGAUGCACAGGUGUGUAGACUUCCCAGAGGCCAGGCCCCCAACGGGGACCCCAGGUCAUGACGCCCUGCAGCAGCUAGCUGCUAGCUUGGAAGCCGACGAGGGGGCUCCCUUCAGACACCUGUGCAGGAGAGGGAAGGAGGAGUCAAAGGCAGCCCGGACCCACUGACCACUCCCGGAAAGGUGCCCGCCUCGCCUGGGCCAGCGCCCCCUGCUGCCCACACCCGUCCCGGGCCUCUGCUCCCAUCCUACUGAAAUCAGCGUCAAACCCUUGGGCUCAGCAGAGCUGCCGCGGGAGGAAGCGUUGGGGCCGGGAGCGGCUCCGCCACACGGGACGUGCUCUCGCAAGUGUCCGGCACCAGUCGGUCUGAGCCCAGGGUCACUCUGAAGUGACGGCGGCCAGUUAUAGAGGGCAGCGGACGCUUGAAGUCAGACUGCCUGCGAUGUAAUCCUGUGUGACUUGGAGAAAGCUACUCAACCUCUCAGAGCCUGUUUCCCGGUUACACCCAGGGUGUCGUCAUCGGGAUUAGAUGUGAUAAUGUAGGUCAGAUACUUAGUCUGCAG